rnacentral:misc_RNA from 1 species
CAUCAUCAGCAUAAACCAUGUUUGACAACAAAACUGGAAUUAGACGGGGCAAGAAUUCUCUCAAGUUCUCAGGUGGUAACUGAGCAUCACAGUAUGCAGACCAGAAUCCACAUGCUUCAAGAGCUACUUCAUGAUCACCGUCCUUGUUGUUGUAAAAUAUAGUCAAUAACAUCUCUAAAAUGUGGCUCUAAGAAAAAUGGACGGACUUCAAUUAACUGAACAAAUGCUGCACAAACCAAUUUCCGCACUUCUGA